CGGACAGUGGCGGACNNUUGANNAACACAUGGGAACAUGCCUUUCGGUNAGGAACAACGCCUGGAAACGGGUGCUAAUACCUUAUACGCCCUCAGGGGGAAAGAUUUAUCGCCGAGAGAUUGGCCCGCGUUAGAUUAGCUAGUUGGUGAGGUAAUGGCUCACCAAGGCUACGAUCUAUAGCUGGUUUGAGAGGAUGAUCAGCCACACUGGGACUGAGACACGGCCCAGACUCCUACGGGAGGCAGCAGUGGGGAAUAUUGGACAAUGGGGGCAACCCUGAUCCAGCGAUGCCGCGUGAGUGAUGAAGGCCUUAGGGUUGUAAAACUCUUUCAGGUGGGAAGAUAAUGACGGUACCACCAGAAGAAGCUCCGGCUAACUCCGUGCCAGCAGCCGCGGUAAUACGGAGGGAGCUAGCGUUGUUCGGAAUUACUGGGCGUAAAGCGCGCGUAGGCGGCUUAGCAAGUUGGGGGUGAAAUCCCGGGGCUUAACCUCGGAACUGCCUCCAAAACUGCUGAGCUAGAAUCCUGGAGAGGUGAGCGGAAUUCCUAGUGUAGAGG
rnacentral:rRNA from 1 species